AGUGAACGCUGGCGGUAGGCUUAACACAUGCAAGUCGAACGGCAGCACAGUAAGAGCUUGCUCUUAUGGGUGGCGAGUGGCGGACGGGUGAGGAAUAUAUCGGAAUCUACUUUUUCGUGGGGGAUAACGUAGGGAAACUUACGCUAAUACCGCAUACGACCUACGGGUGAAAGCAGGGGAUCUUCGGACCUUGCGCGAAUGAAUGAGCCGAUGUUGGAUUGGCUAGUUGGCGGGGUAACGGCCAACCAAGGCGGCGAUCGGUAGCUGGUCUGAGUGGAUGGUCAGCCACACUGGAGCUGGAACACGGUCCAGACUCCUGCGGGAGGCAGCAGUGGGGAAUAUUGGGCAAUGGGCGCAAGCCUGAUCCAGCCGUACCGCGUGGGCGAAGGAGGCCUUCGGGUUGUAAAGCCCUUUUGUUGGGAGAGAAAAGCAGCAGGUUGAUACCCCGCUGUUCUGACGGUACCCAGAGAAUAAGCACCGGCUAACUUCGUG
rnacentral:rRNA from 1 species